rnacentral:tRNA from 1 species
GUAGCGCAGCUUGGUAGCGCGUUCGCUUUGGGAGCGAAAGGUCCUCGGUUCAAAUCUUAUCUGGA